CACGUAGGCACCAAGCGUUGUCCGGAUUUAUUGGGCGUAAAGAGCUCGUAGGCGGUUCGGUAAGUCGGGUGUGAAAACUUUGGGCUUAACCCAAAGCGUGCAUCCGAUACUGCUGUGACUUGAGUUCGGUAGGGGAGUGGGGAAUUCCUAGUGUAGCGGUGAAAUGCGCAGAUAUUAGGAGGAACACCGGUGGCGAAGGCGCCACUCUGGGCCGAAACUGACGCUGAGGAGCGAAAGCUAGGGGAGCAAACGGG
rnacentral:rRNA from 1 species